CGCCUGGCCUAUUCCUGCUUUUAAAAUAAAAUUUGCAUUUGAGAAAGUUCCAGCAUCUUAAAGGCAGAAAAGCUCUUGUUACCAAAUUUUGUCUAGUAUUUGUUUGCUUGCCUUGCCUCUGGUGACCAAUAACUUUCAUUCUCUAGACUGUGUGCUGAUAGCACUGUGAGUUGAAGGGACCCUGAAUAGCCUGACUCUCAGGAGCAACCCUUUGCCACGCUGGCAGAAAAUCUGUAAGUCUCUUUGAGUCCACACAGAGAUCAAACUCCAAAACCUCAUCCAUCUCAUCUUACCUCUUACGCCAAUGUCAAGGACAAGCAGGUCUAAUCCUCUACAUUAGACACAGACAGAGCAAAAUAAGUUUCUCCAAGCUUUAGGAAAUCCAUCCCUUCAGUUAUAGACUAUGUACUUCAGAAAACCCUCUCCUCUCUGAAUUCCUCUGUGCUGACUGCCAAGGCUGUACAUUAUCUAAUGUUAUCAGGAUAUAAAGGACCAGACUAUAUGGGUUCCAGUCCUGACUCUAGCAGUAUGACUUUGGACGAGUCACUUUUCUUGUCUAGGCUUUAAUUUUUGCAUUUUUAGAAGUGUGAGGGCGAGUCAGUGGAGUAAACUGGAUUGCAGUUAAGCUUUGGAAAUAUAAUACUAACACUUAAAUUCAAAUCUCUUAGCCAAGUCAGUAAGAUGCUUACUUGUGCACUAGUUCCCUUCUCCACUGGGUGAAAGGUUAUUAUAGGGAUUGAAAUAGCCAUCAAGGGCCUGACACAUGGAAGCUAUUAUGAUUCAGUGCCUUCUUUAUGUGUAAGUAGAUGGUGUCUAUGUGGUUUGAGUUCCCCAGUGGCUGGAACUGUUGAAGUGUGAUCCCAGGGAGGGAUACCUGGGUUGGAUUCCCACUGCUAUAACCUCCUAGCUGUCUGAUGACCCUGGGCAAAUUCAAUGUUUAUUUAUAAAAUUGAGACCUUUUUUUUGCCUCCCAGAGUUGUUGUGAGGGUCAAUAAUAUAAAACUUAUAACUCUUGUUGGGGGAAGUAUUUAUUUCACAUUUAUGUAUCCACAUGGAGUGACUUCUGGAUGUGUUCCCUAUCUCCCACACAGGGGUGAGAACAAACUUAUUUGCCUGGUGAAUUUGGGAGAAGGAUCUGAGCUCAGCCCCUUCCUUUUCCUUUUCUGGAACCAACCUGCUCUCAUGUUACAAGCUUGGCAGUAUGUGCCUCAAGUCUGCCAGGAUGAUCUUCUCCUGUCGUAUCUGCCCUGCCACACUUGGUUGGCCCUUAUAGACAAGACUGUGUUGUAAUUAUCAUCACACCCUUCAAAGUGUAUACCUGUCAUUCUUCAUCUAUCUAUCCAUCUACCUACCCACAACUCAGCGAGCCUCUACUUUGUGCUAGACCUGUGUAAGUACUGUGCCAGAAACUGAGGGUACAAAGGCAAAUAAGACAGUAUAGCUGCUGCCCUAAAUGAACUUAUACAGAGCAAUUCCCAGAGGGCCCUGACAUAAAUGAGGUAAAAAAUCUCUAUGAGGAAAUACGCCUGUCUCUCACACUAGGAAAAACACCAUAAAGUAACUCAGGAAUAUUUCCAAUUAUGAAAGAAAUCUGCUGGUUUGGUAAAACAGAAGACAAAUGUUAAACUCUAGAUAUUUCUAAUUGAACACCACUCUCAAUCUUUUGUUAUUAGGCAUGUAAGGCACAUUGUUUGAUAUCUUUACUUGAAAACUGGUAGUUUCCAAACAGUUGAUAUUGGACAAAGAUUCUUUGUCUUCUUGAAACCAAAACACUGAAAAAAAAAAAGAAAAAAAAAAGAGGAAGGAGGGAAUGGGGUUGGGGAGAAAAAUAAUCACCAUUACCAUCACACCAGCUAUACUAUUAGAUUCUUACCCUGUGUUAAUUUUAUAUAUAUUAUAUACAUUAUAUAUAUUUUAUAUAUUAUAUUAUAUAUUAAUACCAAUAUAUAACAUAUCAAUAUUUUAUAUAUAUAUAUACACACACACAUAUAUAUAAAAACUUGGGAGGUUGUGCCUGGUUUCUCCUGGACUUUGCCCAUGUACCUUUUCUCCUUGCUGAUUCUGCUUUGUAUCCUUUUGCUCUAGGAACUCAUAGCCCUGAGCAUAAUUAUAUGCUGAGUCCUACGAAUCUUCCUAGGAAAUCACAUAUAUAUGAAUGAAACAUUUUAUAUCGAUUUUUAAAUGCUCACUACAUGCCUCUGAAGCAGUCAAGCAGUUUAUUGUGGUUUAAUGAUGAGAUGCAUGUGCUGAGGAGGUAAUCAGAAGAAGUGAGAAAAGGAGACGGUGUGAAAUUUUGAAGAUUUUAUAUGCCAUGAUGCAGAAAUAAAAGUUCAGCAGGGUCAAGUAAGUUGUCCAAUGUUCAGUAUGAUGGAGUGGGAUUCACAUGCAAGACUAACUACCACUGAACCAUUUACUUCUGACUUUGCUAUUCUGCUUCCACUCACUGAACAUCUCUCUGAGCAAGGCUCAGCACCUGGUAUGAAGGCUGAAACAAGAGCGGUUGCACAGCAAAUGUUUUGCUAUAAUGAGAGAAUACAUGAAUUAAAUGCGAAUUAAACUGCUUCUAUCUCCUUAUGGUGGCAAAUAGUAUCCAUGUGUUAUCGAUGAAGUCAAGUCAAACUUCAUCUAGAUGUAGCUUCUGGAUUCAGACUGUAAAUUCUACAAGGUAUAACAGAUGCUACAUUAUUGUCUGAAUUCAACCAAUUAUAUUACAGAAGAAUAAACAACAGUAGCUCGUUACUUCAUUCAUUAUACAGACAAUGUCUGCUCCUCAAUGUAUACAGUCUCCAGGGCUUUUCCCCAGAAAGAAAACAGACCUCAUACAUCCCACACCAAUGGACCAAUGUGGAAAACAAUGAAGAGAUACGAGGUAAAUCAGCAACCUUGAGAUUUGAAUAUCCAACAGUUCUACUGCCAAAAAAAUAACAAAAAUACAUCAGUAGUUCAGUUUCAAACAUACUGGCUAAGAGCAAGGGCCUCCUGUAAGCAAACACUGUUGUAAAACAACAACAUAAAGGACACCUACACUCA
rnacentral:lncRNA from 1 species